CCUACGGGAGACAGCAGUGGGGAAUAUUGGGCAAUGGGCGCAAGCCUGAACCAGCAAUGCCGCGUGCGGGAUGACGGCUUUCGGAUUGUAAACCUCUGUUCGCUGUGAAGAUGAUAACGCUAGCAGUGGGGGCAGCUCCGGCUAAUUACGUGCCAGAAGCCGCGGUAAUACGGAGGGAGCGAGCGUUUUCCGGAUUUACUGGGUGUAAAGGGUGCGUAGGCGGUUUGGCAAGUCAGUAGUGAAAGCCAUGGGCUGAACCCGAGAACUGCUAUUGAAACUAUCGAGCUUGAGUACAGGAGAGGAAAGCGGAAUUCCAGGUGUAGCGGUGAAAUGCGUAGAGAUUAGGAAGAACACCAGUGGCGAAGGCGGCUUACUGGACUGUAACUGACGUUGAGGCACGAAAGCGUGGGGAGCAAACAGGAUUAGAUACCCCAGUAGUC
rnacentral:rRNA from 1 species